AUGCAAGUCGAACGGCAGCACGGGGGCAACCCUGGUGGCGAGUGGCGAACGGGUGAGUAAUGCAUCGGAACGUGCCCAUCGAUGGGGGAUAACUGCGCGAAAGCGUUGCUAAUACCGCAUACGACCUACGGGUGAAAGCAGGGGACCGCAAGGCCUUGCGUCGAUGGAGCGGCCGAUGCCGGAUUAGCUAGUUGGUGAGGUAAAGGCUCACCAAGGCGACGAUCCGUAGCUGGUCUGAGAGGACGACCCAGCCACACUGGGACUGAGACACGGCCCAGACUCCUACGGGAGGCAGCAGUGGGGAAUCUUGGACAAUGGGCGAAAGCCUGAUCCAGCAAUGCCGCGUGUGGGAAGAAGGCCUUCGGGUUGUAAACCACUUUUGGCGGGAAAGAAAUGGUCUGUGCUAAUACCACGGAUUGAUGACGGUACCCGCAGAAUAAGCACCGGCUAACUACGUG
rnacentral:rRNA from 1 species